AGUGUAUCGAGUAACAAGACAACAGCUUGUCUCUCCAGCGUAUUUGAACCGUCAAGACUUAGCCUAUACCAAAUUUCUGAGCUUGUGAACCAUGAUCUGGAUACGAGUUGCAAUUUCUGAUUAUCUUUGGACUAUCAUUUAGUUCAGCCUUUUUCGGUCUUUUCCGGUUUUGCGUUAACUUCACACAAACUACUGGACUUGUGACGCAGCAAUGUACAUUAUGUAACAGACUGCUAUUUAGUAACACGCUUUUGUCGUGUUUAGGAACG